UCCCACUCAGCGCGGGCAGUCCUGCUAGAGUGCGCCCUUUCGGACUGGCAACUAGCAGCAAGGGUUUCGCUCGUUACAGCACUUAAGCUAACAUCUCACGACACGAGCUGACGACAGCCAUGCAACACCUGAUGAAGGCUCCCCUUUCGGGGUCGUUACCGUUUCCGGUUCCUACCACCUCCACUUCAAGCCCGGGUAAGGUUCUUCGCGUUGCAUCGAAUUGAACCACAUGCUCCACCGCUUGUGCGAGCCCCCGUCAAUUCCUUUGAGUUUUAACCUUGCGGCCGUACUCCCCAGGCGGGACACUUAACGCGUUAGCUGCAGCAGAGAAGGGUAAACCCUCCACCACUUAGUGUCCAUCGUUUACAGCUAGGACUAC
rnacentral:misc_RNA from 1 species